CUCCUCCACCUCCUCCUCUUCUCUCACCCAGGAUCACUUCCGAAACCACUUCGCCUUCAGCCCCUGCCUCGGCCAGAGGUUUCAUUUUUAACUGAAUAUUUACGAAAGCUGGAAGCGUGCGAGGGGGGUGGGGUGGGGUGGAAAUAGCGGCUGCUUCUUUUCCAGGGAUUUAUUUAAUGGGGAUGUGUUCAAGGCAAGAGCGAAUUCAGAAGGAUAUCGACGUCGUGAUCCAGAAGUCCAGAGCUGAGAAGGACUGCCUGUUUGCAGGUGAGUUCUUGCUUUUCCAGAACCUUGGACCCAGCGCCCCCUUCCCAGUUUUCUGACCGCGACGUGUGUGGCUGGGGGUGGGGUGGAGGGUUGCACGUCCCCAUUCUGGGGUUCAUUUGGCAACAGCUGCUGCAACGACCGCGGGAGCUAAAAGGGGGAGGGGGCGCCAGCCUCUCCCCUUCCCCUCCCCCCACCCCCAAGUCUGGGGCAGCCACCAGCUUUGAAGGCAGAACCCGCGUGGCCCGAGUGGGGGUCUAGGCGAAAGGACAGUACGUGGUAUUUCCACUCCCGCGUAGUGCCCGAAGCCUCCAAGCACGCCUCCUGGGUUCCAGCAGCAGCGGCAGAGCGGGGUUGGUUGGAUCAGCCAGGUUUGCGCAAUGGGCUGAGCGGCGGCGGCCGGGAAUGGAGCCCGCUGCGCUGCGCUGCGCUGCGUUCGUCCGUCAGCUGCGCCCGGCGCCGAGGACCCCCGGGGGCAGCGCUCGGCCGAUCUUCGGCCCCUUCGGCGCCCUCUAGUCCCCUCCGACUGGCAAAGAGAAGGGAUUCCUCGGAUUCCCAAGGCACCCAGCGCCCCUUCCUGGGGGUCGCCUUUCGUCCAUUUUGCCCGCCCGGGAGAGAGAUCGGAUUUUGCUUUCGCUGCCGCGAGCCCGGCGGGUGCUGCUUCCGGCCUCCCUGACCGCGAAAUUCCCGCCGUUGCCAUGGCACCCGGCACUUGUUGCGGGGGGCGGCCUCCAGCUGCACCCAGUCGGGGACCCGCCACAUCCCCUGGGACGCGGCGCAGAGCGGGUACCUCGCCACCCUCCAGCCCUCGCCUCCCGCCCGGCCAGGCCUCCCCUGACUCCACCAAAUGGGGGGCCCAAGUCAUGGUCGGGGUUAAAACAAAUCCACUCCAUGGGUAGCUUUUAACAGGACUUUCUGUUUCAGAUUUCAGAUACUCAGACUCCACCUUUACUUUUACCUACGUUGGCGGCUCCAGAAGGUAUUUAUGUGUAUAGAGUUGCUUCAUUUCCUGUUCACAUGCUUGUGUUUCCUUUGUUCUUAGCGUGUUCCGUGUUCGGGUAUUUUGGUUGCUUGUUUGUUUGAUUAUUGUGGCUUUUCUUUACCCACAACCGAAGCCUGAUGUCCCUCGGUUUUAAAUAGAGUGGGGAGGGGAAUCAAUGUUUGAUUCAGCUGUUUGGAAGACCACGCCACAGGCAAUGAGCGUUGAAACUGUUCUGCUACAGUACUAGAUUACUCUUAGGCGAUUUGGGGUUGAUACAGGCAAGCCGGUGCAAAACUGGAAUACUGGAUAUGAAGUGAAAUGUAUAAAAGACAUAAAAUGUCACAAAAUAGUUUGAUCACAAGUGUUGAUUUUCCUGGUGAGUUGGGGCUGCGUGUUUCCAUGUUUUCUGAAGGUUCCCAUAAACAUGCAGCUUGCCAAUUCUCUAUACAUUUUUUUUUCAAUGAGUGGUAUUUCGGUUUUCACGUUUAGUUGUAAGAAAGAAACUGGAGACUUAUAUGUAGCUGGAGUGGAUGACUUCUUUCUUUUGGGGGAAGAAUGAGAGAUGCACAUUUCGUUAGUUAAUUGUGAAGAACUUGAAACAAACCCAAAUCCAAUUUUGAAUUUAGGAAGUAGAGUUAAAAUGAAAGGUAGCCAUUCAAAUACUAUGCCUUGCUGCCUUAACUUGUUAGGUUAGGAUUUUCUUCCUUUUAGCCCUUUAGGGACACAGUAGUUUACAAGAGCAGUAGCUACAUAUGAGAAGUAUCAGAUAUAGCUUAGAAGGGAAUUCCUGAGACCAGCCCUGCUGUUAAGACUUGACGUCAAAUUCAAUAUUGUUUGAUCACGUUCCAAAAUAUAUCUUAGCUAAUGGAAACAUUUAUAAAUAUAUAAAUUGCAAAAGAAGCUUUCUUGUGUACAUACAUUUUUAAAAGCUUGAAAUUGAUGUGCACUUUUAAAAACACGUAGGAUCUGUAUUACAUUCUACAUCUCAAAACAAAUUUAAUUAAAAUGAAUAUCAUUCGAGUAUAUACAAUAUGCCUAAGCCCCAGAAUUGGCACAUUGAUUUACUAGUUGAAAAUAUAACAGUGAAUCACCAAACUUCAGUGUAUACUUUUUGGGAGAGAAUGAAAUUACAGUAUUUCUUAAUUUACUGUAAUGUCAUGUUUGUAAUUAUGAAUUAAUAAUUCAAUGAGAGGAGACCUGGUUGAUUAAAUUAAUACUGGUCCUACACAUCAUAUCUAAAGGAUCUUCGUAUAUGACUAAUAUCCUCUUCCAUUAUUUUAACAGUUAAAAUACACAAAGUGGCCCAUUAAAAUCAGAGUUGACUUUUCACCAUUGCUGUUUUUCUGGUGAGGCAUGUGGGCAGGAAGGACAGGUGGGCUUUUCAACUAACUAGCGCUCUGAUUUUUAAUAAGAUACCUUAGUUCUUUUGGCCUCAGUUGACUUAUCUGUGCAAUCAAAGGGUAAGUCAUAUGCUUAAUCACUAAGAUCUGUUAGAUACUGCAGUUAAGAUUCUUUAUCAGCAAAUUAUUGAACUCUAGUGUUAACAUAGCUAGAGGUGGAAAAGGGAGCAAGGCCAGGUGUUGGGAUGAAUAAUUAACUAAUCAAGAUAACAUCAGUUUUCACCAUAGGAACAAGUACCACGGUUGCUCUUAAAGUAAGAGAUGUUUCCUAUUUUAUGUAAUUUUAUUAAGGGAUAGUGUUUCCUUUUGUCACUGAUUUAAAUGUACCUGGAUGUUUCUUAGCCAUUUGGCUAAGAUUGAGCGCAAGUAUACCUGGGUCUUUUAUAUCUAAUCUAAUGUAGACCAGCCUGUUAAAAAAGAAAGGCAAUUGAUUAAACUGCUGAUGUGUUGCUUUGUCAUCUCAAAAGCUUGUUCUAUAAUACAAUAUGUAAAAAGUUGUUACAGUGUAGUAACUGCAGAUAAUCCCCUUUAUAAUUUGUAUAUAAUGGGGAAGACCAUUUAUUUUCUGAAAAUAACAUAUUUGUUUUCAUUACCAACAUUAGAAACCAAUAUUUAUUAAUCUAUUUCUCAUCCUGACAUUUCAGUCAGACUCUUAAAAUUAUCUUGCUGUAUUUUGAUUUAAUGUGCUUAUCAACUUAUAAUAUUGAAUUAAUAGUGUCACUUUAGGUGAACUAGACUUCACUGAAGGAAUUGGGAGCCUUAUGGAGAGAGACUAUAUGAUUAUCUCUAUUUGUAUUUAAUUACCAUUUCAUCUAACCAUUAAGAACAUAUUUCAAGGAUAUUUUUAAAUUCAAGUUGUAGAUAAAAUGUACUGUACCAUUUUCUUUUUGACACUUUCUGAGAACGAGUUACGCGGUAUUUUUAAAGAGAAAUAUUGAUCUUACAUGUUACUAUUCAAAAAAAAAAUACAAUCAUUUUGUUCUACAUGUAUACUUUUAAUUUUUCUGUGGAUAAUAAGAAAUGCCAAGAGGCGAUUGUGUCCAUACUGGCAAGUGGCCUAAUAAAUUGUCCUUUUAUUUGGUGGUCAUCAGAGUGGCAGUUAAUAUCUUGCUAUUUUGCCUUGUGGACUUGAGGUAGAAAGGUUCAUGGAAUUGUAUCCUAGCUUUUGGAUGUGCAAACUGAAGCUCAGAGAGUUGAAGACCCAUAGUCACUUCUGCCAAUUAAAUGAAGCUUCCAUGUAAACCUGUUCUGUCACACUCCCAAGACCUCCUUCUUCUCCGUUAAUGUUCUCAAGCUUUUUGAGCAUGCAGACACUUUACCAUCAGAAAAUUAUGUAGAAGCAUACUUGAGAGUUACAGUUUAAAGAAAAACAAGGUGCAAUUAUUUAGUUAUUAGUAGCAUUUACAUAUGCUUGAAAACUUGUGCUAUAUAUAUGGUAAGAUUAAUUUAUUCUAACAGUGAUCUUGAUAAUCCCCCUGAUUCCCAGACUCCUUGGAAUAGCUCCACAGCUAUCAGUGGUUCUGCCACAGGUUCAGAGCCUUCCCAGUAGUGCCUUCUUAUUUGAGAGGUGUGCUAAGAACUAUAAAGCAGAGGCUUCAAUUGUACACAAUUUGGAAGUUUAGGCAAAAGUCAUUUCUACUCUAUACUUUGUCAUGCUUAUCUCCUGUCUCUUUCUGUUUUACUGAUUAGCAAUAAACUCCUUAAAACCCAAAGGUUUGGGCUUCUGUUCCUUUCACUUGCAGUCAGACAUGGAGUUAGUGGUAGAAGAAACAGAAGGGGUAACCUGCAUGGUGAUAGCUACUGAGGGAUGGAUAGGAAAGCAGGCUGAGUCCCUGGGGCCAGUGGUUACCAAAGCCAAGGAGAGAGCAAGGGGAGCCCAGUGGGCCUGGCCAUGGACUACUCUGGCAUUCCGAGUAUGAACUUUCAGCCAGGAAUGUAUUGUGAAAAUAUUACUGUGAGGUUUUAAAAGUACACAAAUAAGAAUUAUUUUUUUG